CACGUAGGGGACGAGCGUUGUCCGGAUUCAUUGGGCGUAAAGCGCGCGUAGGCGGCUCGGUAAGUCGGUCGUGAAAUGCCGGGGCUCAACCCCGGGACUGCGUCCGAUACUCCCGAGCUGGAGGCAGGUAGGGGAGAUCGGAAUUCCUGGUGUAGCGGUGAAAUGCGCAGAUAUCAGGAGGAACACCGGUGGCGAAGGCGGAUCUCUGGGCCUUGCCUGACGCUGAGGCGCGAAAGCUAGGGGAGCGAACAGG
rnacentral:rRNA from 1 species